rnacentral:lncRNA from 1 species
GAGAACACUAAGAAGAUGGGCAGAAAUCAAAGCUUCCUGGUGUGAGGUUGUGGUAGAAGAUUCCUGGUUGAUCAAUGUAUAGAAGAUGGAAAUGGAUUCCAGUUGUGGGAAGGAAGAAAUCAUUGCUGCAGUCUCAGUCUGCUCUGCAGGAAUAGACCAUCUGAGGACACAGCACGAAGGUGGCCAUCUGCAAUUCAAGGAGAGAAGCCUCGGGAGAAAAUAAACCUGCCGGCACCUUGAUCUUGGACUUUUAGUUUCCAGAGCUGUGAGAAAAUAAAUGUUUGUUGUUUAAGCCACCCAGUCCGUGGUAUUUUGUUAUGGCAAACCUAGCAGACUAAUACAGAGAAGGAUGAAAAAUGAAGAACAUUUUUUUUUUGGAGCCUAUUACAACAGAUGAAAAUUCAUGCCCUCUUACACCCUAAGUUUCAGAGUAGGGAAAUAAAUACUACAUGUAAUGAAGACAGCAAAUUAUACAAUAUAUGAGAAGGUAAUAAAUGCUGUGGAAGAAACUCGAAGGUUAUAUUGAACUAGGAGAUCAGCAGUGCUGGGGACAGAGGGUUACAGGUUUUGGUACCAGACAGGAAGAGCAGGGAGGCAUCAUUGAGAAGGUACCAACUGUGUACUCAGAAGAGAGGAGGCAGCUGGUUAUGAGGUCAUCUGGGGGACAGCACGACAGGUAGAGACAGGAAAAGUAUAAAGGCUCUGAGGUGGAACCUGAGGGUUGGAGGCACAGCAGGAAGCCAAGAUAGCUGGCAUUCACCAUAAGAAUGGUAGAAAGGAGUCUGAGGCAAGAUACAGGCCAGCCUGCAUGGGGCCUUGUAGACCGAGUAAAUACCUCGGAUGUUGCAAGGACUUUUCUGCCUUGCACGUUCUCCUUUCUCAAAAUCUGUUCCUUCUGUUUGUUCUACAAAUUCCUAGUUUCUGAAAACCAGCUACUGAUCUGGUCUAAUUUUC